UCCCAACCCCAGACGCAACGUGCAGCCUCCUCCCCGGGCAUUGUUUUUAGCCAAAGUGACAGCAGGAACCACAGAUAUGAGUGCAAAGAAUAAAGCAACUGUUUAUUGUUUUACUGCACAGAAGCAACACCUGGGAGAGAGUCUGCCAUGGAGCUCGGUGCCAGCAUGCUUCUCCUUACCCUGUGACACCUGAAGAGUCGUCACCGCACCAGUGUUCGUCGGUCCGUGAGGAAGGCUCAGCUCCUGCUGCUGCCCUUGACGCGGCAGGUGUCUGAGUGGCCGACAGCCCAUCCCCUCGGCUUUUCCCUUCAGGGAUAGGAUUCAGCUCUGACAGGUCCGGUAAGGACGCUGCCAACUUUCCUACGGCCGAAGGCGCCUCAUCAGGACCGGGCAGAGGACGCGUCCGCUGGCGUUUGGAUUCUCCUGGCCGCUCUUGACCUGCGAUAACUUACAGAGGUCUGAGGGGGAUUCCUCCUAUAAGUGGACACUUGUCUCAAAGGUGAUGACCAAAGCGAACAAGUGGAUUGCGAAGUCUAGGCUGCUUCUCUUCAAGAUGUCCUCCUUCGGUGGACUGCCCUGCCAAACAAAGCAAAAGGACUGAUGAGGCCAGGAGGGUAUCAGAUUUUUGGACCACUUCUCCAAGGCUUUCAGGGUGAUUGACAUAACCGCUGCUCUUCACAUUA